rnacentral:rRNA from 1 species
GAUGAACGCUGGCGGCGUGCUUAACACAUGCAAGUCGAACGAAGCACCUUGGACAGAUUCUUCGGAUGAAGUCCUUGGUGACUGAGUGGCGGACGGGUGAGUAACGCGUGGGUAACCUGCCUCAUACAGGGGGAUAACAGUUAGAAAUGGCUGCUAAUACCGCAUAAGCGCACGGUACUGCAUGGUACAGUGUGAAAAACUCCGGUGGUAUGAGAUGGACCCGCGUUGGAUUAGCUAGUUGGCAGGGUAACGGCCUACCAAGGCGACGAUCCAUAGCCGGCCUGAGAGGGUGGACGGCCACAUUGGGACUGAGACACGGCCCAGACUCCUACGGGAGGCAGCAGUGGGGAAUAUUGCACAAUGGGGGAAACCCUGAUGCAGCGACGCCGCGUGAGCGAAGAAGUAUUUCGGUAUGUAAAGCUCUAUCAGCAGGGAAGAAA